CGAAAGCCUGACGGAGCAACGCCGCGUGAGGGAGGAAGGCCCUUGGGUUGUAAACCUCUUUUCUGGGGGAAGAAGUAAUGACGGUACCCCAGGAAUAAGCAUCGGCUAACUCCGUGCCAGCAGCCGCGGUAAUACGGAGGAUGCAAGCGUUAUCCGGAAUCGUUGGGCGUAAAGCGUCCGCAGGUGGCUAUUCAAGUCUGCUGUCAAAGCAUGGAGCUUAACUCCAUAGAGGCAGUGGAAACUGGAAGGCUAGAGGCCGGUAGGGGUAGUGGGAAUUCCCAGUGUAGCGGUGAAAUGCGUAGAGAUUGGGAAGAACAUCGGUGGCGAAAGCGCACUACUGGGCAGGACCUGACACUGAGGGACGAAAGCUAGGGGAGCAAAAGGGAUUAGAUACCCCUGUAGUCCUAGCCGUAAACGAUGGAGACUAGGCGUAGCUUGUAUCGACCCGAGCUGUGCCGAAGCUAACGCGUUAAGUCUCCCGCCUGGGGAGUACGCACGCAAGUGUGAAACUCAAAGGAAUUGACGGGGGCCCGCACAAGCGGUGGAGUAUGUGGUUUAAUUCGAUGCAACGCGAAGAACCUUACCAGGGCUUGACAUCUGGCGAAUCCAGGGGAAACUUUGGAGUGCCUUCGGGAGCGCCAAGACAGGUGGUGCAUGGCUGUCGUCAGCUCGUGUCGUGAGAUGUUGGGUUAAGUCCCGCAACGAGCGCAACCCUCGUUCUUAGUUGCCAUCAUUAAGUUGGGCACUCUAGGGAGACUGCCGGUGACAAACCGGAGGAAGGUGGGGAUGACGUCAAGUCAGCAUGCCCCUUACGUCCUGGGCUACACACGUACUACAAUGGUCGGGACAGAGGGCAGCAAACUCGCAAGAGCAAGCGAAUCUCAUCAAAUUCGGCCUCAGUUCAGAUUGCAGGCUGCAACUCGCCUGCAUGAAGGAGGAAUCGCUAGUAAUCGCCGGUCAGCAUACGGCGGUGAAUUCGUUCCCGG
rnacentral:rRNA from 1 species